rnacentral:rRNA from 1 species
GUGGGGAAUUUUGCACAAUGGGGGAAACCCUGAUGCAGCGACGCCGCGUGGAGGAUGAAGGCCUUCGGGUUGUAAACUCCUUUUGUCGGGGACGAUGAUGACGGUACCUGAUGAAUAAGCCACGGCUAACUCUGUGCCAGCAGCCGCGGUAAGACAGAGGUGGCGAGCGUUGUUCGGAAUCACUGGGCUUAAAGGGCGCGUAGGUGGUAGUGCAAGUCCGUGGUGGAAUCCGGGAGCUUAACUCCCGAACUGCCAUGGAAACUGCGUUACUUGAGUCAGCGAGGGGAGGGUAGAAUUCCUGGUGUAGCGGUGAAAUGCGUAGAUAUCAGGAGGAAGGCCUGUGGCGAAGGCGGCCCUCUGGUGCUGGACUGACACUGAGGCGCGAAAGCGUGGGGAGCAAACAGGAUUAGAAACCCCAGUAGUCC